AAGGAUUUAAGUUAAAUAAACUAAUAACCUUCAAAGUUUUAAAUAAAGAAGAUUAUUCUUUAAGCCUUA
rnacentral:tRNA from 1 species